UGAGGCGGGCUGGACCUCUCGGGGUUACAGCCUUGCUGAAUUAUUCACCCUUGUCUUUUGCGUACUUCUUGUUUCCUUGGUGGGUUCGCCCACCACUAGGACAAACAUAAACCUUUUGUAAUUGCAAUCAGCGUCAGUAACAAAUUAAUAAUUACAACUUUCAACAACGGAUCUCUUGGUUCUGGCAUCGAUGAAGAACGCAGCGAAAUGCGAUAAGUAGUGUGAAUUGCAGAAUUCAGUGAAUCAUCGAAUCUUUGAACGCACAUUGCGCCCUUUGGUAUUCCAAAGGGCAUGCCUGUUCGAGCGUCAUUUGUACCCUCAAGCUUUGCUUGGUGUUGGGCGUCUUGUCUCUAGCUUUGCUGGAGACUCGCCUUAAAGUAAUUGGCAGCCGGCCUACUGGUUUCGGAGCGCAGCACAAGUCGCACUCUCUAUCAGCAAAGGUCUAGCAUCCAUUAAGCCUUUUUUUCAACUUUUGACCUCGGAUCAGGUAGGGAUACCCGCUGAACUUAAGCAUAUCAAUAAGCGGGAGGAAA
rnacentral:rRNA from 1 species